GAUUUUGGUAGAGAGAAUUAGGAAUUUAGAUGAACUCUUGUGUGAGUUCACUAUUGUUGUGAGAAGAUCUUUCGUUUUUGAGAAGUUUUGUAACUGUGUGUUCUUGAGACGCUUUUGCCUAUUUUUGGGCUGUUUAUAGUGGAUUUGAGCUUAUUCCUAAUGGAUGCUCAACGGGGAUGUAGGCGUUAGAUUUGGUCGCCGAACCUCGGGGCCUUUGGGCCGAAAAAUCUCGUGUUCUCUCAUUUUAUUUUUGUUUCUGUGUAUUCGGUUUGAAGUGUGGUUCUGCACGAAUGAAUUUUUCUAAACACAACAGUGGUAUCAGAGCAUUUUAGAAAAAUCUGAUUUGUGCUGCGUUUUGAGUUUCUGCUUUUUAGGCUAGGG
rnacentral:lncRNA from 1 species